CGCAUGCGCACCGCGCCCGCAGCGAACCGAGCGACACGGCUGGCGCCCCGCGCAUGCGCUCCGGCCGCGCACCGGGGCUCCCCGCCGUGGCGGUGGGGCGCGGGCAGGGCCGCCAGCCCGGGCCGCGGCGGACAGGCUCAGGGGCACAAGGAGCAGCAUAUUCAGAAGGGCGAAGAAGGACUCUGGACAAGAGCCUGGAGCCACAGCACAAGGGGGGAUGGCUCACCACUGGCAGAGGGCAGGGUUAAAGGGGAUAUUGGGAAGGAAUUGUUCCCUGUGAGGGUGGGGAGGCCCUGGCACAGGGUGCCCAGAGAAGCUGUGGCUGCUCCUGGAUCCCUGGAAGAGUCCAAGGCCAGGCUGGAAGGGGCUUGGAGCAGUCUGGGAUAGUGGAAGGUGUCCCUGCCCAUGGCAGGGGGUGGGAAUGAGAUGAGCCUUAAGGUGUCUUCCAGCCCCAACCAUUCCGUGAUUCUGUGGUGUGGGCCUGCCUUGAAGGGAGGCAGUGUCAGCUGCUUUACUGACAACACUUGGUCCCUGAACCUGCAGACACACAGGUGUUUAUUUUAACCAUGCAGGUUUUAGAUAAAGCCAGAAUUACAGCUGGGCAAAACCAGUUUGACUCCAGUAAAGUCCAAAGGCAGUGACAUUGGCUGUUGCUCAGUCUGUUGGCUCUGUAUGAACUCUCAAAAAUCACAGAUUGGGUACAGCCCCUGUUUUGUCUACACAAAGAGGCCCUUACAUGUUCGGCUUUUGUAUCCGCUUAAAAUCCUGUUCUUCAUCUCUUUCCUGGUCCCUCCUUUCCCCUUUGAUUUUGGUGCUUGGAUUAGAACAAUUAUCUGGACGCCAGUACGGGUGUGUCAGAGGCAAACUGGAAACAGAAGGUGAAAGAAUUGUUACCAUAAGCUUUACAUUUGGAAGAAAAUGGAAAAUGGACCUCAAGUUCUUUUGCCCUUUUGCUUUUCCCGCUGGGUCAAUUUUCAUUACAUGCAGAGUGUUGUGGGGUUCACUGUAGCUCUUGUGUGUGAUUUCAGCUGAGAAGAGAGCAAGUUAUUCAUUGUUACAAAUUAAUGAAGUGUUAGUGUAAAAGGUGCAUUAUCAG
rnacentral:lncRNA from 13 species